ACACUCUGGAGAGUCUCAAUGAAUGAGCGCCGAAGGUGUAAAGGAUAUGCAGUGCAUACCUAAAUCUCUCAGGCAAAAGGACAGAGCAA
rnacentral:ncRNA from 1 species